CAAAGGUUCGGUCCCAGCCUUGAAAUCAGUUUUUACUUUAUAUACACAUGCAAGUUUCCGCACCCCUGUGAGAACGCCCUUAACUCCCCCUUAGGGACAAGGAGCUGGUAUCAGGCACAAUAAUUAGCCCAAAACACCUAGCCAUGCCACACCCACACGGGCCCCCAGCAGUGAUUAACAUUGAAUAUAAGCGACAGCUUGAUUCAGUCAAAGUAAAGAGAGCCGGCAAAUCUGGUGCCAGCCGCCGCGGUUACACCACGUGGCUCAAAUUGUAUUUUUUCGGCGUAAAGCGUGAUUAAAGUAAGCACUAAACUAGAGUUAAACUCAAAUUAAGUUGUAAUAAGCUUGUUAUUUAGGAAACCCAAAAACGAAAGUUACUCUAACCCCACCCACUUGAACUCACGACAGCUAGAACACAAACUGGGAUUAGACACCCCACUAUGCCUAGCCG
rnacentral:rRNA from 1 species